GUAUAGUAUCCCGCAAGGGAAGUGAACCCGGUGAACUGAAACAUCUAAGUAGCCGGAGGAAGAGAAAACAAAAGUGAUUCCGGGAGUAGUGGCGAGCGAAACCGGAUUAGCCCAAACCAGUGUUGUUUCGGCAAUACUGGGGUUGUAGGACCACGACAUUGAUUGCGUAAUGAAUUAGAACACUUUGGAAAGAGUGACCGAAGAGGGUGAUAGUCCCGUACAAGUAAAGAGCGUUAAUUAUAGUGGUAUCCUGAGUAGUGCGGGGCACGUGAAACCCUGUAUGAAUCAAGCGGGACCAUCCGUUAAGGCUAAAUACUCCUGAGAGACCGAUAGUGAACCAGUACCGUGAGGGAAAGGUGAAAAGAACCCUGAAUAAGGGAGUGAAAAAGAUCCUGAAACCAUACGCUUACAAGCGGUCGGAGCCCGUAAGGGGUGACGGCGUGCCUUUUGCAUAAUGAGCCUACGAGUUACUUUUACUAGCAAGGUUAAGCACUUCAGGUGCGGAUCCGUAGCGAAAGCGAGUCUGAAUAGGGCGACCAUAGUUAGUAGUAGUAGACGCGAAACCGUGUGAUCUAC
rnacentral:rRNA from 1 species